rnacentral:rRNA from 1 species
UUCCCGAUUUUAAAGGAGUUAAUGGUUUACUUUAGUUAUUGUUUCAUCAAUAUUAAUAAUGUGCUGUUGGUAGUGAAAUGUUAUUCGUCUUUAAUGGUUUCUGGUUUUCCAAGAAAUGAAUUCAAUUCAUGCUCUUUAUUUAAUUUUUACUUUCAUUUUAUUUGUUUUUAUUUGGGGUUAAGAUUGAGGGGGAUUAGCUCCUUGUUUUAUUUUUAUAAUUUUUGCUUAUUAUUUAGUUUUGUGGAUUUUAUAGUGAUUUUCAAUUUGAUUAUGUUAAAAUUUUAUUUAUCUUUUUGUUUAUUUAUUUUUAAUUUAAGUUAUUUAUUGGAAUAUUUUCUUUAACUGUUAUUUGUUUAGUAAUUAUUGUGUAAUUAGUAAAUUUUAUUUUAUGUUGUUUAUUUUAUGUUAAAUUCUUUUGAGGAAUUCGGCAAAGUUUCAUGUCCGCCUGUUUAACAAAAACAUCUCUUCUUGUUAGUUUUUGAAGUAUGGCCUGCCCACUGACGUAUAUUUGUUGAAGGGCCGCGGUAUUUUGACCGUGCAAAGGUAGCAUAAUCAUUAGUUCUUUAAUUGUGAUCUGGUAUGAAUGGCUUGACGAGACAUGUGCUGUCUUAGAUGUAUGAAUAUGUAAUUGAAUUUGGGUUUUGAGUUAAAAUUCUUAGAUGCUUUUAUGGGACGAGAAGACCCUAUAGAGUUUGACAUUUGACUCUCUUUAUUUUGAUUUGUUUGUUUAUUUUUAUUAAUUGAUUCAAGUGUUUUGUUGGGGUGAUGGGAGGAAUUUAUUUAACUCCUCUUUGUUUUAGUAUAUUUAUGUAUAUUUUUUUGAUC